rnacentral:rRNA from 1 species
UGGGGAAUAUUGGACAAUGGGCGAAAGCCUGAUCCAGCCAUGCCGCGUGUGUGAAGAAGGUCUUCGGAUUGUAAAGCACUUUAAGGUGGGAGGAAGGGCAGUAAGCGAAUAACUUGCUGUUUUGACGUUACCGACAGAAUAAGCACCGGCUAACUCUGUGCCAGCAGCCGCGGUAAUACAGAGGGUGCAAGCGUUAAUCGGAAUUACUGGGCGUAAAGCGCGCGUAGGUGGUUCGUUAAGUUGAAUGUGAAAGCCCCGGGCUCAACCUGGGAACUGCAUCCAAAACUGGCGAGCUAGAGUAGGGCAGAGGGUGGUGGAAUUUCCUGUGUAGCGGUGAAAUGCGUAGAUAUAGGAAGGAACACCAGUGGCGAAGGCGACCACCUGGGCUCAUACUGACACUGAGGUGCGAAAGCGUGGGGAGCAAACAGG